rnacentral:rRNA from 1 species
GCCCAGACUCCUACGGGAGGCAGCAGUGGGGAAUGUUGGGCAAUGGGCGCAAGCCUGACCCAGCAAUGCCGCGUGAAGGAAGAAGGCUUUCGGGUUGUAAACUUCUUUGACAGGGGAAGAGCAGAAGACGGUACCCUGAAAACAAGCCACGGCUAACUACGUGCCAGCAGCCGCGGUAAUACGUAGGUGGCAAGCGUUAUCCGGAUUUACUGGGUGUAAAGGGCGUGUAGGCGGGACUGCAAGUCAGAUGUGAAAACCACGGGCUCAACCUGUGGCCUGCAUUUGAAACUGUAGUUCUUGAGUACUGGAGAGGCAGACGGAAUUCCUAGUGUAGCGGUGAAAUGCGUAGAUAUUAGGAGGAACACCAGUGGCGAAGGCGGUCUGCUGGACAGCAACUGACGCUGAGGCGCGAAAGCGUGGGGAGCAAACAGGAUUAGAUACCCCGGUAA